rnacentral:sRNA from 1 species
AGUUCGUUGACCAUGACAUUCACAUCAAAACAGACGCGUUUUCACGAAGGAAACUGGAAGAAGAAAGAUGUUUGUGCGGUUUUACGGUUAUUUAGUGAACAAUAUCGUGGAGUGGAUUAAAUUCAGGGUCGCAAUAUGAAAUCAUUUCAAUGAAUCUCCUUACGCAUCUUUAAAUAUUAUUAUCACUGAUUGAAGAAUGAAAAUCUACCAUACAUUUCGAAUUUUCUCGUUGAAAGACAACGGCAUUGAAAUGGGUAAAAUAUAAAAUCUAUACUUGAAGUUGUGAAUAGUUUUUACCUGUAAUGAUCAAUCCACCAACCUCCACACCGCCGACAAACCCGUUGAAGUUAGGGGAAUCCUCGUGCAGGUCCAAAAUCUUUUGUGACACCGCAUCGAGGGGGGCUUUCGGUGGUCCACCGCCGGUCUUUUUUUUGGUGUACCCUUUGGGACACACUCUCCCCCUUCGCCUCUGAACAGGCUUUACGAUAUUUUUCCUUCACCUGUUCGAUGGUCCGACAAACACCUCCCCUCGCAUUUACAGACUCAGUAAUUUUUCUCCAACAGUCAUUUUUUUUUGCGUUGGUUACCUGAUUUGUCUGUUUACUCUGGAUGAUAUCGAUAUGUUUCUCAACUUGUUCAAUUAUAAAUAAAAUUUCAUCGGGUG